GACGAACCGGACGAACGUUAUUCGGAAUCACUGGGCUUAAAGGGUGCGUAGGCGGCGCGGCAAGUUGGGUGUGAAAGCCCUCAGCUUAACUGAGGAAUUGCGCCCAAAACUGUCGUGCUAGAGGGAGGCAGAGGUGAGCGGAACUUGCGGUGGAGCGGUGAAAUGCGUUGAUAUCGCAAGGAACACCAGUGGCGAAAGCGGCUCACUGGGCCUCUUCUGACGCUGAGGCACGAAAGCUAGGGGAGCGAACGGG
rnacentral:rRNA from 1 species